rnacentral:rRNA from 1 species
UGCAGUCGAACGAUGAACCUCCUUCGGGAGGGGAUUAGUGGCGAACGGGUGAGUAACACGUGGGCAAUCUGCCCUGCACUCUGGGACAAGCCCUGGAAACGGGGUCUAAUACCGGAUACGAGCCUCCACCGCAUGGUGGGGGUUGGAAAGCUCCGGCGGUGCAGGAUGAGCCCGCGGCCUAUCAGCUUGUUGGUGAGGUAACGGCUCACCAAGGCGACGACGGGUAGCCGGCCUGAGAGGGCGACCGGCCACACUGGGACUGAGACACGGCCCAGACUCCUACGGGAGGCAGCAGUGGGGAAUAUUGCACAAUGGGCGAAAGCCUGAUGCAGCGACGCCGCGUGAGGGAUGACGGCCUUCGGGUUGUAAACCUCUUUCAGCAGGGAAGAAGCGAGAGUGACGGUACCUGCAGAAGAAGCGCCGGCUAACUACGUGCCAGCAGCCGCGGUAAUACGUAGGGCGCAAGCGUUGUCCGGAAUUAUUGGGCGUAAAGAGCUCGUAGGCGGCUUGUCACGUCGGUUGUGAAAGCCCGGGGCUUAACCCCGGGUCUGCAGUCGAUACGGGCAGGCUAGAGUUCGGUAGGGGAGAUCGGAAUUCCUGGUGUAGCGGUGAAAUGCGCAGAUAUCAGGAGGAACACCGGUGGCGAAGGCGGAUCUCUGGGCCGAUACUGACGCUGAGGAGCGAAAGCGUGGGGAGCGAACAGGAUUAGAUACCCUGGUAGUCCACGCCGUAAACGGUGGGCACUAGGUGUGGGCAACAUUCCACGUUGUCCGUGCCGCAGCUACGCAUUAAGUGCCCCGCCUGGGGAGUAC